AUGGCCUGGACCCCUCUCUGGCUCACUCUCCUCACUCUUUGCAUAGGUUCUGUGGUUUCUUCUGAGCUGACUCAGGACCCUGCUGUGUCUGUGGCCUUGGGACAGACAGUCAGGAUCACAUGCCAAGGAGACAGCCUCAGAAGCUAUUAUGCAAGCUGGUACCAGCAGAAGCCAGGACAGGCCCCUGUACUUGUCAUCUAUGGUAAAAACAACCGGCCCUCAGGGAUCCCAGACCGAUUCUCUGGCUCCAGCUCAGGAAACACAGCUUCCUUGACCAUCACUGGGGCUCAGGCGGAAGAUGAGGCUGACUAUUACUGUAACUCCCGGGACAGCAGUGGUAACCAUCU